AUCAUAGAAGUUGAAUGUGGAAAAUAUGUUCCUCAAGUAAAUCAUCAAUAAGCUUCAUUUUAUUGUUUUUACUUUUUGUAGGUGAAAAGUCAUCCAUUCACUUGGACGUUAAGCCUUGGGAUGACUAAACUACUUUGAAGAAACAGGAUGAGGUUGUUCGCAAUGUUCAGAUGGAAGGGCUUUUCUGGGGAGCAUCCAAAUAAGAUCCAAUCGCAAUGGGAUUAAGAAAUUCCAAAUCAUGCUUAUCAUCGUGGAUGGCCUGAAAUUUGGGCUGCGUAGAGCCCCAUGUUGUUGGGAGUCGGAGUUGUUAUUGUUAAAACUUGAGAAGAUGCACCAUAAUGAAGGGAAAUCACAAGCACUUCCCAAAAGAGUGGAGUACCUCGAACCAGGACAAACAAAUAGGCACAGGUCGAUGUACUGCCCAUGCAAGUGAGCAAUCUUGCAGCAGCCGUUUCUCAAUUGAGAUGAUGUUCUUGAAGAAUUUUGCGGCUGAUCUAUAUCUCUAUGUAUGGAGAUGAUAUUUGUAUUACUUCAUGAUCUUCCACCAAAUAGGAAUGCCCUUUACGUUUGGAAAGAGGAACUGGUUCAUUUUGUAACUUUUAUGUAAUUUGUAUUGUUUGCGACUGGAAUUGGAACUCUAUUUUUUGUU